CCCAAGUGUAGCUGGGACUACAGGCACACGCCACCAUGCCCAGCUAAUUUUUGUUUUUUUUAAUGUAGAGAUAAGAGUCUCACUAUGUUGCCCAGGUUGAUCUCAAACUCCUGGUCUCAAGAGAUCCUCCCACCUCAGCCUCCCAGAGUCAGAACCCAGAUCCUGGAACUCUUCUUUUCUUCUUCUAUACCACUGCUUCCUUGCAGAUACCAGGUUUCGCCAUGUUGACCAGGCUGGUCUCAAACUCCCAACCUCAAGUGAUCCACCUGCCUUGGCCUCCCAGAGUGCUGGGAUUACAGGUGUGAGCCACCAUGCCCGGCCUAAAAGAUAAGAGAUCAAGAUAUAUACAAAUUAGUCUUUGAAAGAUCUUUCACCUUGUUCAAAGUUAAGAUCCUGUGAACACCAGAAUUGUUCCAUGGCCUCUUCACUAUUGAUUGCAACAGUAUCAUUUACCUGAAGUUACACAGUGACCACAAAAACCAUGUCCAGGACACCAAAUUUCUACUGCGAACUCUAGGUCCUCACGAGCCUUUCUCUGCGAGUCCAAAAUUCAGCCACAUUUCCUAAGAGGCACCUGUACUUGUCUAUUUCAAUGCAGCCAGAAGCUGACAACGGCCCAGGAACCAGGACUGCUUUCAGGAGGCGCUCAGAAGGGCAGCAAAGUACCCUCUCAACAUUAGUAAAAUGAAACAAAAGUGUCA
rnacentral:lncRNA from 1 species